AUUGAACGCUGGCGGCAUGCCUUACACAUGCAAGUCGAACGGUAACAGGUCUUCGGAUGCUGACGAGUGGCGAACGGGUGAGUAAUACAUCGGAACGGGCCCGAUCGUGGGGGAUAACGAGGCGAAAGCUUUGCUAAUACCGCAUACGAUCUACGGAUGAAAGCGGGGGAUCUUCGGACCUCGCGCGGACGGAGCGGCCGAUGGCAGAUUAGGUAGUUGGUGGGAUAAAAGCUUACCAAGCCGACGAUCUGUAGCUGGUCUGAGAGGAUGAUCAGCCACACUGGGACUGAGACACGGCCCAGACUCCUACGGGAGGCAGCAGUGGGGAAUUUUGGACAAUGGGCGAAAGCCUGAUCCAGCCAUGCCGCGUGCAGGAUGAAGGCCUUCGGGUUGUAAACUGCUUUUGUACGGAACGAAAAGCCUCUUUCUAAUAAAGAGGGGUCAUGACGGUACCGUAAGAAUAAGCACCGGCUAACUACGUG
rnacentral:rRNA from 1 species